AGAGUUUGAUCCUGGCUCAGAACGAACGCUGGCGGCAGGCCUAACACAUGCAAGUCGAACGCGACCUUCGGGUCGAGUGGCGCACGGGUGAGUAACGCGUGGGAAUCUGCCCUGUGGUACGGAAUAACAUCGGGAAACUGGUGCUAAUACCGUAUAUCCCCUGAGGGGGAAAGAUUUAUCGCCAUGGGAGGAGCCCGCGU
rnacentral:rRNA from 1 species